UGUUCUGUGGCGAAGUUGGUUAAUGCACUCUGUCUAGCGAGUUGGGGAGACGUGGGUUCAAAUCCCACCAGAACUA
rnacentral:tRNA from 1 species